CAACCCAUAAACAACUGCCGUCUUUUUUGCACCACGCAAACAAACUCGUCCAACAUGUGCAUCAUUAAAUGAGGGAAGAUAAUACUGCCGUCGUCUCGUUCGUCGUUGGCGUGGGCUUGUGCUCCAAAGUUACAGCGACGCUCAUCCUCCCGUUGUACGCGUCAUUGUGAGAUGCCGCCGGAUCCGGUGCUCCAGGCAUCAUCCCUACCUUCUCAACCGCAGAGCUGUGGGAAUAAGCAGGCCUGCAUGCAUGCGC
rnacentral:lncRNA from 1 species